UACGGGGGGGGCGAGCGUUGUUCGGAAUUACUGGGCGUAAAGGGCUCGUAGGCGGCCAACUAAGUCGGACGUGAAAUCCCCAGGCUCAACCUGGGAACUGCGUCCGAUACUGGAUGGCUUGAAUCCGGGAGAGGGAUGCAGAAUUCCAGGUGUAGCGGUGAAAUGCGUAGAUAUCUGGAGGAAUACCGGUGGCGAAGGCGGCAUCCUGGACCGGCAUUGACGCUGAGGAGCGAAAGCCAGGGGAGCAAACGGG
rnacentral:rRNA from 1 species